rnacentral:rRNA from 1 species
AGAGUUUGAUCAUGGCUCAGAUUGAACGCUGGCGGCAGGCCUAACACAUGCAAGUCGAGCGGAUGAAGGGAGCUUGCUCCUGGAUUCAGCGGCGGACGGGUGAGUAAUGCCUAGGAAUCUGCCUGGUAGUGGGGGAUAACGUCCGGAAACGGGCGCUAAUACCGCAUACGUCCUGAGGGAGAAAGUGGGGGAUCUUCGGACCUCACGCUAUCAGAUGAGCCUAGGUCGGAUUAGCUAGUUGGUGGGGUAAAGGCCUACCAAGGCGACGAUCCGUAACUGGUCUGAGAGGAUGAUCAGUCACACUGGAACUGAGACACGGUCCAGACUCCUACGGGAGGCAGCAGUGGGGAAUAUUGGACAAUGGGCGAAAGCCUGAUCCAGCCAUGCCGCGUGUGUGAAGAAGGUCUUCGGAUUGUAAAGCACUUUAAGUUGGGAGGAAGGGCAGUAAGUUAAUACCUUGCUGUUUUGACGUUACCAACAGAAUAAGCACCGGCUAACUUCGUGCCAGCAGCCGCGGUAAUACGAAGGGUGCAAGCGUUAAUCGGAAUUACUGGGCGUAAAGCGCGCGUAGGUGGUUCAGCAAGUUGGAUGUGAAAUCCCCGGGCUCAACCUGGGAACUGCAUCCAAAACUACUGAGCUAGAGUACGGUAGAGGGUGGUGGAAUUUCCUGUGUAGCGGUGAAAUGCGUAGAUAUAGGAAGGAACACCAGUGGCGAAGGCGACCACCUGGACUGAUACUGACACUGAGGUGCGAAAGCGUGGGGAGCAAACAGGAUUAGAUACCCUGGUAGUCCACGCCGUAAACGAUGUCGACUAGCCGUUGGGAUCCUUGAGAUCUUAGUGGCGCAGCUAACGCGAUAAGUCGACCGCCUGGGGAGUACGGCCGCAAGGUUAAAACUCAAAUGAAUUGACGGGGGCCCGCACAAGCGGUGGAGCAUGUGGUUUAAUUCGAAACAACGCGAAGAACCUUACCUGGCCUUGACAUGCUGAGAACUUUCCAGAGAUGGAUUGGUGCCUUCGGGAACUCAGACACAGGUGCUGCAUGGCUGUCGUCAGCUCGUGUCGUGAGAUGUUGGGUUAAGUCCCGUAACGAGCGCAACCCUUGUCCUUAGUUACCAGCACCUCGGGUGGGCACUCUAAGGAGACUGCCGGUGACAAACCGGAGGAAGGUGGGGAUAACGUCAAGUCAUCAUGGCCCUUACGGCCAGGGCUACACACGUGCUACAAUGGUCGGUACAAAGGGUUGCCAAGCCGCGAGGUGGAGCUAAUCCCAUAAAACCGAUCGUAGUCCGGAUCGCAGUCUGCAACUCGACUGCGUGAAGUCGGAAUCGCUAGUAAUCGUGAAUCAGAAUGUCACGGUGAAUACGUUCCCGGGCCUUGUACACACCGCCCGUCACACCAUGGGAGUGGGUUGCUCCAGAAGUAGCUAGUCUAACCGCAAGGGGGACGGUUACCACGGAGUGAUUCAUGACUGGGGUGAAGUCGUAACAAGGUAGCCGUAGGGGAACCUGCGGCUG